rnacentral:rRNA from 1 species
AAUGAACGUUGGCGGCGUGGAUUAGGCAUGCAAGUCGAGCGAGAAGAGUUUGGUAGCUUGCUAUUGAACUCGGAAAGCGGCGAAAGGGAGAGUAACGCGUAGUUACGUGCCCCAGGGUUCGGAAUAGCCACGGGAAACUGUGGGUAAUGCCGAAUAACAUCUCCGGAUCAAAGGUGUGAUUCCGCCCUGGGAGCGGACUGCGUCCUACUAGCUAGUUGGCGGGGUAAUGGCCCACCAAGGCAACAAUGGGUAGCGGGUGUGAGAGCAUGACCCGGCUCACUGGGACUGAGACACUACCCAGACACCUACGGGGGGCUGCAGUCGAGAAUCUUCGGCAAUGGGCGAAAGCCUGACCGAGCGACGCCGCGUGCGGGAUGAAGGCCCUCGGGUUGUAAACCGCUGUCGUAGGGGAGGAAGGCUCCAUGAAGAAUGGGGUUUGACCUAUCCUAGGAGGAAGUACGGGCUAAGUUCGUGCCAGCCGCCGCGGUAA